rnacentral:rRNA from 1 species
AGCGAACGCUGGCGGCAGUCCUAACACAUGCAAGUCGAACGAACCUUUCUGUGUUAGUUGCUGACGGGUGCGUAACACGUCGGUACGUGCCUUUAUGUUCUGAAUCACUCAGCGACACUUUUCCUAAUACCGAAUGUGCCCUUCUGGGGGAAGAUUAAUCGCCUUUAGAGCGGCCCGCGUCUGAUUAGCUAUUUGGUUGAGGUAAUGGCUCACCAAGGCGACGAUCAGUAGCUGGUCUGAGAGGAUGAUCAGCCACAUUUGGACUGAGACACGGCCCAAACUCCUACGGGAGGCAGCAGUGGGGGAUCUAGCGCAAUGGGCGAAAGCCUGACGCAGCCAUGCAGCGUGAAUGAUGAAGGUCUUAGGAUUGUAAAAUUCUUUCACCGGGGAAGAUAAUGACGGUACCCGGAGAAGAAGCACCGGCUAACUUCGUG